rnacentral:rRNA from 1 species
UUUACUUCAUUGGGUAGGGGAGCGUUCUGUAAGCCGUUGAAGGUGUGUUGUAAAGCAUGCUGGAGGUAUCAGAAGUGCGAAUGCUGACAUGAGUAACGAUAAAGGGGGUGAAAAACCUCCUCGCCGGAAGACCAAGGGUUCCUGUCCAACGUUAAUCGGGGCAGGGUAAGUCGACCCCUAAGGCGAGGCCGAAAGGCGUAGUCGAUGGGAAACGGGUUAAUAUUCCCGUACUUCUUACAAUUGCGAUGGGGGGACGGAGAAGGCUAGGUGGGCCUGGCGACGGUUGUCCAGGUUCAAGUGCGUAGGCUGAAGAGUUAGGUAAAUCCGGCUCUUCUUAAGGCUGAGACACGACGUCGAGCUACUACGGUAGUGAAGUCAUUGAUGCCAUGCUUCCAGGAAAAGCCUCUAAGCUUCAGAUUGUAAGGAAUCGUACCCCAAACCGACACAGGUGGUCGGGUAGAGAAUACCAAGGCGCUUGAGAGAACUCGGGUGAAGGAACUAGGCAAAAUGGUACCGUAACUUCGGGAGAAGGUACGCUCUUGAUGGUGAAGUCCCUUGCGGAUGGAGCUGACGAGAGUCGCAGAUACCAGGUGGCUGCAACUGUUUAUUAAAAACACAGCACUGUGCAAAAUCGUAAGAUGACGUAUACGGUGUGACGCCUGCCCGGUGCCGGAAGGUUAAUUGAUGGGGUUAGACUUCGGUCGAAGCUCUUGAUCGAAGCCCCGGUAAACGGCGGCCGUAACUAUAACGGUCCUAAGGUAGCGAAAUUCCUUGUCGGGUAAGUUCCGACCUGCACGAAUGGCGUAAUGAUGGCCACGCUGUCUCCACCCGAGACUCAGUGAAAUUGAAAUCGCUGUGAAGAUGCAGUGUACCCGCGGCUAGACGGAAAGACCCCGUGAACCUUUACUACAGCUUGGCACUGAACAUUGACCCUACAUGUGUAGGAUAGGUGGGAGGCUUUGAAGCACAGUCGCUAGAUUGUGUGGAGCCGUCCUUGAAAUACCACCCUUGUAGUGUUGAUGUUCUAACGUCGACCCCUUAUCGGGGUUGCGGACAGUGCCUGGUGGGUAGUUUGACUGGGGCGGUCUCCUCCCAAAGAGUAACGGAGGAGCACGAAGGUGGGCUAAUCACGGUUGGACAUCGUGAGGUUAGUGCAAUGGCAUAAGCCCGCUUGACUGCGAGAAUGACAAUUCGAGCAGGUGCGAAAGCAGGUCAUAGUGAUCCGGUGGUUCUGUAUGGAAGGGCCAUCGCUCAACGGAUAAAAGGUACUCCGGGGAUAACAGGCUGAUACCGCCCAAGAGUUCAUAUCGACGGCGGUGUUUGGCACCUCGAUGUCGGCUCAUCACAUCCUGGGGCUGAAGUCGGUCCCAAGGGUAUGGCUGUUCGCCAUUUAAAGUGGUACGCGAGCUGGGUUUAGAACGUCGUGAGACAGUUCGGUCCCUAUCUGCCGUGGGCGUUGGAAGAUUGAAGGGGGCUGCUCCUAGUACGAGAGGACCGGAGUGGACGAACCUCUGGUGUUCGGGUUGUGUCGCCAGACGCAUUGCCCGGUAGCUAAGUUCGGAAUCGAUAACCGCUGAAAGCAUCUAAGCGGGAAGCGAGCCCUGAGAUGAGUCUUCCCUGAUACUUUAAGUAUCCUAAAGGGUUGUUCGAGACUAGAACGUUGAUAGGCAGGGUGUGUAAGCGUUGUGAGGCGUUGAGCUAACCUGUACUAAUUGCCCGUGAGGCUUAACCAU